rfam:Wuchereria bancrofti cont1.7864, whole genome shotgun sequence.
GCUCGAUGAGGUAGUAGGUUGUAUAGUUAUGAGUUGUAUCAUAAUCGGAGAAACUGUCCAGCCUGCUAGCUUGCCGUGC